CAGUCGCCGCGGUAAAACGAAGGGUGCAAGCGUUAAUCGGAAUUACUGGGCGUAAAGCGUGCGUAGGCGGUGAGUUAAGUCUGCUGUGAAAUCCCCGGGCUCAACCUGGGAAUGGCAGUGGAUACUGGCUCGCUAGAGUGUGUCAGAGGAUGGUGGAAUUCCCGGUGUAGCGGUGAAAUGCGUAGAGAUCGGGAGGAACAUCAGUGGCGAAGGCGGCCAUCUGGGACAACACUGACGCUGAGGCACGAAAGCGUGGGGAGCAAACAGGAUUAGAUACCCCCGUAGUCCCUGUCUCUUAUAC
rnacentral:rRNA from 1 species